rnacentral:rRNA from 1 species
GAAGGCAAGCGGAUCUCUUAAAGCCGUUCUCAGUUCGGACUGUAGGCUGCAACUCGCCUACACGAAGCUGGGAUCGCUAGUAAUCGCGGAUCAGCACGCCGCGGUGAAUACGUUCCCGGGCCUUGUACACACCGCCCGUCACACCAUGAGAGUCUGUAACACCCAAAGCCGGUGGGAUAACCUUUAUAGGAGUCAGCCGUCUAAGGUAGGACAGAUGAUUAGGGUGAAGUCGUAACAAGGUAAC